rnacentral:rRNA from 1 species
CGUUGUCCGGAUUUAUUGGGUUUAAAGGGUGCGUAGGCGGCUUUGUAAGUCAGUGGUGAAAUAUGGCAGCUCAACUGUCAGGGUGCCAUUGAUACUGCAGAGCUUGAGUACAGAUGAGGUAGGCGGAAUUGACGGUGUAGCGGUGAAAUGCUUAGAUAUCGUCAAGAACACCGAUAGCGAAGGCAGCUUACUGGGCUGUAACUGACGCUGAGGCACGAAAGUGUGGGGAUCAAACAGG